AGCGUACACGGUGGAUGCCCUGGCAGUCAGAGGCGAUGAAGGACGUGCUAAUCUGCGAUAAGCGUCGGUAAGGUGAUAUGAACCGUUAUAACCGGCGAUUUCCGAAUGGGGAAACCCAGUGUGUUUCGACACACUAUCAUUAACUGAAUCCAUAGGUUAAUGAGGCGAACCGGGGGAACUGAAACAUCUAAGUACCCCGAGGAAAAGAAAUCAACCGAGAUUCCCCCAGUAGCGGCGAGCGAACGGGGAGCAGCCCAGAGCCUGAAUCAGUGUGUGUGUUAGUGGAAGCGUCUGGAAAGGCGCGCGAUACAGGGUGACAGCCCCGUACACAAAAAUGCACAUGCUGUGAGCUCGAUGAGUAGGGCGGGACACGUGGUAUCCUGUCUGAAUAUGGGGGGACCAUCCUCCAAGGCUAAAUACUCCUGACUGACCGAUAGUGAACCAGUACCGUGAGGGAAAGGCGAAAAGAACCCCGGCGAGGGGAGUGAAAAAGAACCUGAAACCGUGUACGUACAAGCAGUGGGAGCACGCUUCGGCGUGUGACUGCGUACCUUUUGUAUAAUGGGUCAGCGACUUAUAUUCUGUAGCAAGGUUAACCGAAUAGGGGAGCCGAAGGGAAACCGAGUCUUAACUGGGCGUUAAGUUGCAGGGUAUAGACCCGAAACCCGGUGAUCUAGCCAUGGGCAGGUUGAAGGUUGGGUAACACUAACUGGAGGACCGAACCGACUAAUGUUGAAAAAUUAGCGGAUGACUUGUGGCUGGGGGUGAAAGGCCAAUCAAACCGGGAGAUAGCUGGUUCUCCCCGAAAGCUAUUUAGGUAGCGCCUCGUGAAUUCAUCUCCGGGGGUAGAGCACUGUUUCGGCAAGGGGGUCAUCCCGACUUACCAACCCGAUGCAAACUGCGAAUACCGGAGAAUGUUAUCACGGGAGACACACGGCGGGUGCUAACGUCCGUCGUGAAGAGGGAAACAACCCAGACCGCCAGCUAAGGUCCCAAAGUCAUGGUUAAGUGGGAAACGAUGUGGGAAGGCCCAGACAGCCAGGAUGUUGGCUUAGAAGCAGCCAUCAUUUAAAGAAAGCGUAAUAGCUCACUGGUCGAGUCGGCCUGCGCGGAAGAUGUAACGGGGCUAAACCAUGCACCGAAGCUGCGGCAGCGACACUAUGUGUUGUUGGGUAGGGGAGCGUUCUGUAAGCCUGUGAAGGUGUACUGUGAGGUAUGCUGGAGGUAUCAGAAGUGCGAAUGCUGACAUAAGUAACGAUAAAGCGGGUGAAAAGCCCGCUCGCCGGAAGACCAAGGGUUCCUGUCCAACGUUAAUCGGGGCAGGGUGAGUCGACCCCUAAGGCGAGGCCGAAAGGCGUAGUCGAUGGGAAACAGGUUAAUAUUCCUGUACUUGGUGUUACUGCGAAGGGGGGACGGAGAAGGCUAUGUUGGCCGGGCGACGGUUGUCCCGGUUUAAGCGUGUAGGCUGGUUUUCCAGGCAAAUCCGGAAAAUCAAGGCUGAGGCGUGAUGACGAGGCACUACGGUGCUGAAGCAACAAAUGCCCUGCUUCCAGGAAAAGCCUCUAAGCAUCAGGUAACAUCAAAUCGUACCCCAAACCGACACAGGUGGUCAGGUAGAGAAUACCAAGGCGCUUGAGAGAACUCGGGUGAAGGAACUAGGCAAAAUGGUGCCGUAACUUCGGGAGAAGGCACGCUGAUAUGUAGGUGAGGUCCCUCGCGGAUGGAGCUGAAAUCAGUCGAAGAUACCAGCUGGCUGCAACUGUUUAUUAAAAACACAGCACUGUGCAAACACGAAAGUGGACGUAUACGGUGUGACGCCUGCCCGGUGCCGGAAGGUUAAUUGAUGGGGUCAGCGCAAGCGAAGCUCUUGAUCGAAGCCCCGGUAAACGGCGGCCGUAACUAUAACGGUCCUAAGGUAGCGAAAUUCCUUGUCGGGUAAGUUCCGACCUGCACGAAUGGCGUAAUGAUGGCCAGGCUGUCUCCACCCGAGACUCAGUGAAAUUGAACUCGCUGUGAAGAUGCAGUGUACCCGCGGCAAGACGGAAAGACCCCGUGAACCUUUACUAUAGCUUGACACUGAACAUUGAGCCUUGAUGUGUAGGAUAGGUGGGAGGCUUUGAAGUGUGGACGCCAGUCUGCAUGGAGCCGACCUUGAAAUACCACCCUUUAAUGUUUGAUGUUCUAACGUUGACCCGUAAUCCGGGUUGCGGACAGUGUCUGGUGGGUAGUUUGACUGGGGCGGUCUCCUCCUAAAGAGUAACGGAGGAGCACGAAGGUUGGCUAAUCCUGGUCGGACAUCAGGAGGUUAGUGCAAUGGCAUAAGCCAGCUUGACUGCGAGCGUGACGGCGCGAGCAGGUGCGAAAGCAGGUCAUAGUGAUCCGGUGGUUCUGAAUGGAAGGGCCAUCGCUCAACGGAUAAAAGGUACUCCGGGGAUAACAGGCUGAUACCGCCCAAGAGUUCAUAUCGACGGCGGUGUUUGGCACCUCGAUGUCGGCUCAUCACAUCCUGGGGCUGAAGUAGGUCCCAAGGGUAUGGCUGUUCGCCAUUUAAAGUGGUACGCGAGCUGGGUUUAGAACGUCGUGAGACAGUUCGGUCCCUAUCUGCCGUGGGCGCUGGAGAACUGAGGGGGGCUGCUCCUAGUACGAGAGGACCGGAGUGGACGCAUCACUGGUGUUCGGGUUGUCAUGCCAAUGGCACUGCCCGGUAGCUAAAUGCGGAAGAGAUAAGUGCUGAAAGCAUCUAAGCACGAAACUUGCCCCGAGAUGAGUUCUCCCUGACUCCUUGA
rnacentral:rRNA from 1 species